UUUUUUUUUAUUAGUGUAAACGGACGAAUUGCGAACAUUUUUGACAAGAUGCUUAUGACCCAAGACCAACUUCGCUUCUUAGUAUCCAUCUUCAUCUUCCAUAUGACCUUAGCUUUAUGGCCUAAGAUUUGGUGCCAACUCAAGGAAUCUGUAAGAAGGGUUUUGUUCUCGGUGAAGAGCACUAGCUCUCCAGUUUACUAAGCGAAUAAACGGGUACACUUUCGUUGAAAUCGCUUCUUGUCAUUGAUGUUUGCUUGUGAAGUGCAUUCUUACAUUUUACGCAUUUGAUGGCUGGCUUUUUCUUUCCUCCCUCAAGGUUGAAAGAAGUGAUGUUGCUUUCUGAAACGCAUUUCAUUAAUUUCCCUUUUCUUAGUUUUCUAAUCCUUAUUUUUUUUUGAUCUAUAUUCGGUUUGUUUACAUGCUCUGUCCGACUCAUGGUCCCACUACAUGGAAUCCUCAUUCUUGCACAGUCGUAGAAAAGUGCAUUACUAAUCUACUUAUAACUACUAUCCUUCUCUGUUUUUUUAACGCAACUACAUACUGGAAAUUGUUUUUUGGUGCUAUGUUUGAUUUUAUCCAUUACCAACUACUCUUCCGUAAUUCGCUAUCCGAAAUUCUCUUAUUAGGAUUAGGCUAAAAUUUUCUAAUGCUAAUCAGAUUGCCUUCUAAACGAGGGCUAAUUCGCCAAGUUUGUUUAGCCAAAUUAAGUGAAUUCGCUUGCAUCGUUGAAUGCGAUGAGUAAUGGAAUUAUAUAACGUUUUGAUGAAAUCCUCAG